CAGCCGCCGCGGUAAUUCGUAGGGGGCGAGCGUUGUCCGGAAUUAUUGGGCGUAAAGCGCGCGCAGGCGGUCCCUUAAGUCUGAUGUGAAAGCCCACGGCUCAACCGUGGAGGGUCAUUGGAAACUGGGGGACUUGAGUGCAGAAGAGGAGUGCGGAAUUCCACGUGUAGCGGUGAAAUGCGUAGAGAUGUGGAGGAACACCAGUGGCGAAGGCGGCUCUCUGGUCUGUAACUGACGCUGAGGCGCGAAAGCGUGGGGAGCAAACAGGAUUAGAUACCCUGGUAGUCCACGCCGUAAACGAUGAGUGCUAAGUGUUAGAGGGGUUAAACCCUUUAGUGCUGUAGCUAACGCGUUAAGCACUCCGCCUGGGGAGUACGGCCGCAAGGCUGAAACUUAAAGGAAUUGGCGGG
rnacentral:rRNA from 1 species